AGGUUACCGUAGGUGAACCUGCGGAAGGAUCAUUC
rnacentral:rRNA from 1 species